AUUGAACGCUGGCGGCAUGCCUUACACAUGCAAGUCGAACGGUAACAGGUCUUCGGAUGCUGACGAGUGGCGAACGGGUGAGUAAUACAUCGGAACGUGCCUAGUAGUGGGGGAUAACUACUCGAAAGAGUGGCUAAUACCGCAUGAGAUCUACGGAUGAAAGCAGGGGAUCGCAAGACCUUGUGCUACUAGAGCGGCCGAUGGCAGAUUAGGUAGUUGGUGGGAUAAAAGCUUACCAAGCCGACGAUCUGUAGCUGGUUUGAGAGGACGAGCAGCCACACUGGGACUGAGACCCGGCCCAGACUCCUACGGGAGUCAGCAGUGGGGAAUUUUGGACAAUGGGCGCAAGCCUGAUCCAGCAAUGCCGCGUGCAGGAUGAAGGCCUUCGGGUCGUAAACUGCUUUUGUACGGAACGAAAAGCCCUGGGUUAAUACCCUGGGGUCAUGACGGUACCGUAAGAAUAAGCACCGGCUAACUACGUGCCAGCCGCCGCCGUAAGAC
rnacentral:rRNA from 1 species